rnacentral:rRNA from 1 species
UACGGAGGAUGCGAGCGUUAUCCGGAUUUACUGGGUGUAAAGGGAGCGUAGACGGCGGUGCAAGCCAGAUGUGAAAGCCCGGGGCUCAACCCCGGGACUGCAUUUGGAACUGUGUGACUGGAGUGCAGGAGAGGUAAGCGGAAUUCCUGGUGUAGCGGUGAAAUGCGUAGAUAUCAGGAGGAACACCAGUGGCGAAAGCGGCUCUCUGGUCUGUAACUGACGCUGAGGUUCGAAAGCGUGGGUAGCAAACAGG